rnacentral:rRNA from 1 species
UACAGAGGGUGCGAACGUUGCUCGGAAUUACUGGGCGUAAAGCGCGUGUAGGCGGGUCGGCAAGUCAGGCGUGAAAUCCCCCAGGCUCAACCUGGGAACUGCGCUUGAAACUGCCGGUCUUGAGUAUCGGAGAGGGUGGCGGAAUUCCUGGUGUAGAGGUGAAAUUCGUAGAUAUCAGGAGGAACACCGGUGGCGAAGGCGGCCACCUGGACGAUAACUGACGCUGAGACGCGAAAGCGUGGGGAGCAAACAGG